rnacentral:lncRNA from 1 species
AAUCGAAUGUUUAGAUUUAGAAGAUGCAGAUCUCUUGGUCCAAAUUGAAUCCUAAAGUAAGGAAACAAAAUUAGAUUAAACAACAACAAUUGACUUCAAGAUUGUUCAACUUUUCUACAUGUUCUAGCUGUUCUUUUUUUCAUUCUUUAUAUGAAGACUAUCAAAAGAUACCCCCUCCCCCCAAAAAAAAAGAAGAGACAAGGGCCG